rnacentral:rRNA from 1 species
AUGUCGUUCGCCGGCGAAUCUGUCAUUGCUAACGGUCUGCUGCUGCUGCCGCCGCCUGUGUCGUCGGCCGCGAUAUACUCCUCCACCGGCAGCUGGUAUCACCUGCUCGUGGUCCAAGGUUACUCCUGCAUCAAAGACACACCCCCUGGGAAGUGCAUCACUGGUUGCUGUUUUAGAGCUGGAGCCUAUGAAUGGACUAUAGGGCUCUAUCCCAACGGUUAUCUCCAGGCUCCAGGUUUCAUGUCCGUUUUUCUUUUUCUUCAACGGGGACAGGAUGUUGCACAGCCUGUGAAAGCGCAUCUGCACUUCAGUUUCGUUGACGAGGUUGACCAACAAGAGCCUGCACGCAUCCGUGCACAACAAGCAGACGAAUUCCAUCGCAGUGGCCUAGGCCAGGGUUGCUAUCGUUUCAUAAAAGUAGAGGACCUUGAGCAGUCAAAGCAUUUCAAGGAUGACUCGUUCACCAUCAGAUGCGAUUUUGUCAUCCCGGAAGCUGCUGCUAACUUCAUCGAGGUACAACCAUCCAACAUAUGCGAGCAGCUGAACCAUCUCCUUGCUACAAAGGUCGGUGCUGAUGUGACAUUCGAGGUUGGCAGCGAGAUGUUCGCCGCUCACCGGUGCGUGCUUGCGUCUCGUUCCGCAGUCUUUAUGGCGGAGCUCUUUGGUCCCAUGAAGGAAGGAACUACUACAGCUGGUGCCAUACAGAUACAAGACAUGGAGCCAAAUGUGUUCAAGGCCUUGCUUGGUUUCAUCUACACCGACUCGAUGCCCAAGAUGGAGGUUGAAGCACCAGAAGCUGGAUCUGACGUUGCGUGGCUGCAGCACUUGCUUGUUGCUGCAGACAGGUAUGAUCUCCAGCGGCUCAGGUCGAUGUGUGAAAAGAGGUUGUCGGAGCACAUAGACAUGAGCUCGGUCACAACCAUACUAUGUCUAGCUGUACAGCACCAUUCGUGCGGACUGAAGGAGGCCUGCCUGGAGUUCCUCAAAGUGCAAUCCUCUAAAGACCUGGGACAGAUUAUGGCGACCAGUGACUGGGAGCACAUUGCCGCCAAUCCCUUUGUUAUGAACGAGCUCGUCAUCAAGCUUGCUUCGAGAGUGUAG